AGUCGACGACUCUGGUAUUGAUUGGUGCUUGCAUCAUGAUUUACAUUUGAGUGAGUGGCGAACUGGUGAGUAACACGUGGGAAACCUGCCCAGAAGCGGGGGAUAACACCUGGAAACAGAUGCUAAUACCGCAUAACAACUUGGACCGCAUGGUCCGAGUUUGAAAGAUGGCUUCGGCUAUCACUUUUGGAUGGUCCCGCGGCGUAUUAGCUAGAUGGUGGGGUAACGGCUCACCAUGGCAAUGAUACGUAGCCGACCUGAGAGGGUAAUCGGCCACAUUGGGACUGAGACACGGCCCAAACUCCUACGGGAGGCAGCAGUAGGGAAUCUUCCACAAUGGACGAAAGUCUGAUGGAGCAACGCCGCGUGAGUGAAGAAGGGUUUCGGCUCGUAAAACUCUGUUGUUAAAGAAGAACAUAUCUGAGAGUAACUGUUCAGGUAUUGACGGUAUUUAACCAGAAAGCCACGGCUAACUACGUGCCAGCAGCCGCGGUAAUACGUAGGUGGCAAGCGUUGUCCGGAUUUAUUGGGCGUAAAGCGAGCGCAGGCGGUUUUUUAAGUCUGAUGUGAAAGCCUUCGGCUCAACCGAAGAAGUGCAUCGGAAACUGGGAAACUUGAGUGCAGAAGAGGACAGUGGAACUCCAUGUGUAGCGGUGAAAUGCGUAGAUAUAUGGAAGAACACCAGUGGCGAAGGCGGCUGUCUGGUCUGUAACUGACGCUGAGGCUCGAAAGUAUGGGUAGCAAACAGGAUUAGAUACCCUGGUAGUCCAUACCGUAAACGAUGAAUGCUAAGUGUUGGAGGGUUUCCGCCCUUCAGUGCUGCAGCUAACGCAUUAAGCAUUCCGCCUGGGGAGUACGGCCGCAAGGCUGAAACUCAAAGGAAUUGACGGGGGCCCGCACAAGCGGUGGAGCAUGUGGUUUAAUUCGAAGCUACGCGAAGAACCUUACCAGGUCUUGACAUACUAUGCAAAUCUAAGAGAUUAGACGUUCCCUUCGGGGACAUGGAUACAGGUGGUGCAUGGUUGUCGUCAGCUCGUGUCGUGAGAUGUUGGGUUAAGUCCCGCAACGAGCGCAACCCUUAUUAUCAGUUGCCAGCAUUAAGUUGGGCACUCUGGUGAGACUGCCGGUGACAAACCGGAGGAAGGUGGGGAUGACGUCAAAUCAUCAUGCCCCUUAUGACCUGGGCUACACACGUGCUACAAUGGAUGGUACAACGAGUUGCGAACUCGCGAGAGUAAGCUAAUCUCUUAAAGCCAUUCUCAGUUCGGAUUGUAGGCUGCAACUCGCCUACAUGAAGUCGGAAUCGCUAGUAAUCGCGGAUCAG
rnacentral:rRNA from 2 species